AAAGCGGGGAAACUCGGCGCGUGAGUGAGUGACUGACUGACUGAUUGGUCGAGUCCGCUGUGCGCGAGGGAAUCCUCUUUUCUGCGUCCUUGCGGAUUUUUCUUUUUUCUUUUUUUCGUGUCGCAUGUAAGUGCACAGCGCGCGAGCGAGAGUCCCUUGCGCAACCCCGGGGGCCGGGCCCGCGUGGAGCGUAAACGAGGAGUGACUGCUCGCCUUGAAGGGACCCGUAUAUAACGGCGUCCCUACCGGCGACCAGGCACACGCACCGAUCCUCGUACGGAGCUUCUCAUCUUGGGCAGCCGCAGUCGGAGCACCGCCAAUCCAGUCACCAUGAUCAAGCUUCUGAUCCUCCUCGCCGUACUGGCCCUCUUUGCCGUCUCCUACACUACUGCAGCGCCGCAGUACGUUCUCUCGUACGGCUACCCGUACCACUAUGGCUACUACGGUGCCUACUACCCUCACGCCUACUACUACGGGCGCUGAGCCAGCACCGAAGCGAGGGCAGCAACAGUCCGCGGCGAUUUCUGCGAAAAGGAACCGAAAUUGCUAACGCACUCAUCCACUGCCAUUUGUCUGACUUCUCAAGAACUGCGUUGUCACAUAUCAGCAAGUGAAACCUGGAGCCGCACUUAGUCACCUGGGCUGCCCUGCGCAAUCCAACGAUGUCCGCUGUUCUAACAUCGGGUCUUCAUUCUGCGAUCUUGGUUCUGAAUUAAAAUUGUUCUGACCAGA